CCCCGUGGCCCGCUUGGACCUUCGCCUGCUGCUUUCCUGUGCGACGGGGCCCAGACCUCACUCUUCAGGGAGUCUCCAUUGCCUUGCACCCUUUUCAUUUGGGCAGAGGCCUUCACGGAUUCCUUCUGAGCCUUCAGGAUGAGGCAUUGCAGAGAUGCCUCCCACACACCCCAGUGACCUCCAGCAGAGACACGCCAGGAAGGCAGGAAGGGGCCGUGCAGCAGGAUCAUGUUCUGGGCUAGAAAGUACGUCUGCUCAUUACCCGACCUUUGCUAAGUAUACCAACUAAUGGAGCGAGAGACAUGAAAGAUCUUUACAGGCCAUGUGGAAAUGUAAUUCACACCCAGCCCGAGGAGGUCACGAUGAGAAAACUAAAGACCAGGAAGUUUCACUAACACAGAGUCACCCAGCUCCUUUAUUGCUGGAGAUACUCACCAAGGUCCGUGUGACUCCAGUCUCUACAUUUACCCACUGAGCUGCACCUCCCCCCAGAGUCAUGAGAUCUCUCCCAGCCUCAGUUUCCUGGUCUAUGGAAUGUGGGGACGUGAUCUCCUGCACUGGACUCUGGUGGAGCUCUGAGGAAGGUGCUGCUCUAGAAGACUUUGGAGUGCCAUGAGGACAAGAAAACAAGAGGAAUAGACUUUGUCAGGGAGGAACAGCCAAGGAAGACUUCUCUGACCCUACGGCAGCCUCAUUCCCCCACAGAAAUCACCACCGCACCCAGCACCUAGCACUGGGCCUGGUUCCAGCUGGUGUUUGAGUGAAGGAUGGGCCUAAGGUGAAAGUCUCCUACAGCAGACCUCAGGUGUUUGUCAGGAGUGCUUGGUUUGUUUUUAAGAUUUGCUCCCCAUGGCUUGGAGCUAAAAUCUAGCUGAAAUGUCAUCCAGGAGAGAAGCUGGUACAGAGGCUCCCAAAGGUGGGGCAGUUGCUCUGGGCUAUGACUUCUCAUAAAGGG